ensembl:lncRNA
AAAGUUAAAGAUUUCCUUUAUUACAAAGUCGGCAUGUUGAUGACAUUCCACAAAGGCAAAAAAUACAAGAACCCAAAAAUACAGCAAGUCUUUGAUGAGGGAUUCAUGCUACAUGACUGCAGGACCAGAGAAACUAAGAGGACAGGUAGAGCAGAACCAGGACAUCGUGUUCUUCCUCAGUUUCCUCCUGAUAUAGUAAGAACUUUGUUUUUCUACAUCCAUUCAAUGCCAAAUGCAAAAAUAAAUAAAUAAACCAAACAGUUACUGAACAUGUUUCCUAUACAGCAGAAGAAAGGGAAGCAACUGCUUUUAUUUAAUCAAGAGCUGAAAAAGAAAAUUCUUCUUUUUUUGAAUGAGUUGGUUCUUUUUUGUAUUCUUUUAGGACUUGAUUAUUCUUUGCUGGGACAACGUUUUUGCUUUUUUUUUUAAAGAAAUGUUGUCCUUUUUCCUUAUAUAAAAUUAUGAAACUAAUUUAUCUUCAUUCAGCAGACAAGGAAGAGCAGAUGAAAACUAGAUUUUACCUAAUAUUUAAUAAAAUAUUUCUGCAGCUGAGUGGUAAAAGAAUGUAGUCUCUUUGAAAAAAAUCUACCCAGCAGGAUGUUUAGUAACACCGAGCAGCAAACAGCAUGUAAAUGGUGUCUCAGCAGGACUGCGCUUCACUCCUAGAACUAUCAAUAUAAAGAUGCAUGCCUUGACUUCACAGUAAAAAACUGGUAAUAAAUACACGGCUCACUGUCAGGUAGCAAAAGAUACAAAUGAUGCUAUCUGUGGAUUCCACAUUAUCUGUGGAAGCCAUUAAAGAAGCUCUGAUUGACCUCCAGAGAUACAAAGAAGGUUCUUCAUAGUGAACCACACACAGAGGCAUACAUAUAUGUAUAUAUUUAUAAAUUAAUUACACAGGUUCACACAGUCAAAUAAAAAAAAACCCCAAAUCAUGUCCACUCUUUUCAAGAAGCUCUAGAAAUUCUGCAGGAUUUAAAGUAGCAGUACUUGUAAGACUUACUAAAACACACUUUUCAUCUCUCUUUUUAAAGCAAGGGUGUCAAACUUAUGGUCCACAGGCCAGAACCAGCCUGCCAAAGGAUCCAAUCAGGCUUGUUGCAUAACUUUUCCAAGUGUGAAAUUUGCAAAGAAGACAUUAAUUUUAGGUUGUCAUUUUCUUUUGCACCGGUAAGCAAAACGUUCUGAAUAAACAAUGAUGAAAGUGUUAUUGUCCAUCUGAAUCAUCAUUAGUCUGAAUGUGGAAAAACAACCAUUUUUCUUAAAGAUGUUUCAGUUUGCGCAUCAUCAGUUUUAUAAAUAGAUCAUUAGCAAUAACCUGAAUGUACUGAAACUGCUCUUCACAAAAAGAAAGGGGAACAAUUAGUCAGAAGCUUCAGUGAUGCAGGCGGCCCACUUGAGCUGUAAGUCACUUAUGAGCAAAGAUGAGUCUGAUACCCUUGUUCUGAAAAUGCAAAAACCACAUUUCCUCAUUUUCCGUGACGUUUCUGUCAGACUGCGGUUCAGGCCGUUACAGGCGACCAGUUGAGCCCAUUGGUUACAUAAAUGGUCUACAUUGUAGACUCUACAACACAUAAAGCACCCUGUGUGAAGGGGAAACUAGGUUCUUAAACUUUUUUUUUUUUUUUCAAAAACACAUCAGAUUCGAGACCUAUUUUUUUACUUUUAGAGGCAUCUGUGGGCAGAACUUGUUGCUGUGUAAACAUACCCAGUGGAGCAUUUUACAAACUAAUCUAAUCUUUCAGGUAUUAGAAGAAAAAAAAAAAAAUCUUUUUCCAAAGGACACUUUUUUUCUGCUAAUAUGGUGCUACUUUAAUUUGUGUUGUCAAAUCCAUAACCUUCAUAUUUUCAUAUAAAAAAAACCAGCAAAUUACAGCCAGAAGCUUCUAAUUCCUGUCAAUUAUUUCCAACUAAGUAAAGGAUGGAGAUGCCGCCCUUUCAAACAAGGCACAUUUGAGUGUGAAACUUGAAUAAGGCCUUUUUAAACACAAGCUGUGGUUAUCAUUAAGCUUUAAGGCGAACUGAAAGAAAGUGAAAAUGAUCCCACCCAAUUGUCGACGCCACCUAAAUUUGAAUACAGACAUAAAAAGGAAGACUUGCACUUUUUUGUUCGUAUCAGUUUUAAACAGUGUGAAAAAUAUCAGCUUUCAACAUGAUUGCCAUCUCCUGCCUCCAAAGAAAUAAAUAUUAAGAAAAGCAGACAUUUAGGCUGAAACUAUGCUUUUU